GACGUAGGGCGCGAGCGUUGUCCGGAUUUAUUGGGCGUAAAGAGCUCGUAGGCGGUUUGUCGCGUCGUUCGUGAAAACUCACAGCUUAACUGUGAGCUUGCGGUCGAUACGGGCAUCACUGGAGUUCGGCAGGGGAGACUGGAAUUCCUGGUGUAGCGGUGAAAUGCGCAGAUAUCAGGAGGAACACCGGUGGCGAAGGCGCUGCUCUGGGCCGGUACUGACGCUGAGGAGCGAAAGCGUGGGUAGCAAACAGG
rnacentral:rRNA from 1 species